AUUGAACGCUGGCGGCAUGCCUUACACAUGCAAGUCGAACGGUAACAGGGCUUCGUUUCCUGACGAGUGGCGAACGGGGGAGGAACACAUCGGAACGGGCCACGGAGCGGGGGAUAACUACUCGUAAGAGUAGCGAAUACCGCAUGAGAUCUAAGGAUGAAAGCCAGGGAGCGUCAGGCUCUGCGCUACUAGAGCGGCCGAUGGCCGAUUAGGAAGUUGGUGGGAUAAAGGCUUACCAAGCCGACGAUCUGUAGCUGGUCUGAGAGGACGACCAGCCACACUGGAACUGAGACACGGUCCAGACUCCUACGGGAGGCAGCAGUGGGGAAUUUUGGACAAUGGGCGAAAGCCUGAUCCAGCAAUGCCGCGUGCGGGAUGAAGGCCUUCGGGUUGUAAAGUGCUUUUGGACGGAACGAAAACACUCUCGCUAAUAAAGAGGGUGAUUGACGUUACCGUAAGAAUAAGCACCGGCUAACUACGUG
rnacentral:rRNA from 1 species